UACAGAGGGCGCAAGCGUUGUCCGGAAUCAUUGGGCGUAAAGAGCUCGUAGGCGGCCUGUUGCGUCCGCUGUGAAAUCCCGGGGCUUAACCCCGGGCGUGCAGUGGAUACGGGCUGGCUGGAGGCAGGCAGGGGAGACGUGGAAUUCCUGGUGUAGCGGUGGAAUGCGUAGAGAUCCGGAAGAACACCGGUGGCGAAGGCGGUUCUCUGGGCCUGUACUGACGCUGAGGAGCGAAAGCGUGGGGAGCAAACAGG
rnacentral:rRNA from 1 species